rnacentral:rRNA from 1 species
UAGAGUUUGAUGCCUGGCUCAGAUUGAACGCUGGCGGUAUGCUUAACACAUGCAAGUCGAACGGAAACGAUACUAGCUUGCUAGUAGGCGUCGAGUGGCGGACGGGUGAGUAACGCGUAGGAAUCUGCCUGAUAGUGGGGGAUAGCCCGAAGAAAUUCGGAUUAAUACCGCAUAAUCUAUUCGUAGUAAAGUGGGGGACUUUCGAGCCUCACGCUAUCAGAUGAGCCUGCGUAAGAUUAGCUUGUUGGUAGGGUAAAAGCCUACCAAGGCGACGAUCUUUAGCUGGUCUGAGAGGAUGAUCAGCCACAUCGGGACUGAGACACGGCCCGAACUCCUACGGGAGGCAGCAGUGGGGAAUAUUGGACAAUGGGGGCAACCCUGAUCCAGCAAUACCGCGUGUGUGAAGAAGGCCUGAGGGUUGUAAAGCACUUUCAAUUGUGAAGAAAAGUUAGCGGUUAAUAACCGUUAGCCUUGACGUUAACUUUAGAAGAAGCACCGGCUAACUCCGUGCCAGCAGCCGCGGUAAUACGGAGGGUGCAAGCGUUAAUCGGAAUUACUGGGCGUAAAGCGUGCGUAGGCGGUUUAUUAAGUCAGAUGUGAAAGCCCCGGGCUUAACCUGGGAACUGCAUUUGAAACUGGUCAACUAGAGUAUGGUAGAGGAAAGUGGAAUUUCUGGUGUAGCGGUGAAAUGCGUAGAUAUCAGAAGGAACAUCAAUGGCGAAGGCAGCUUUCUGGACCAAUACUGACGCUGAGGUACGAAAGCGUGGGCAGCAAACAGGAUUAGAUAUCCUGGUAGUCCACGCCGUAAACGAUGAUAACUAGCCGUUGGGGGGAUUUACCCCUUAGUGGCGAAGCUAACGCGUUAAGUUAUCCGCCUGGGGAGUACGGCCGCAAGGUUAAAACUCAAAGGAAUUGACGGGGACCCGCACAAGCGGUGGAGCAUGUGGUUUAAUUCGAUGCAACGCGAAGAACCUUACCUGGUCUUGACAUCCUGCGAACUUUCUAGAAAUAGAUUGGUGCCUUCGGGAACGCAGUGACAGGUGCUGCAUGGCUGUCGUCAGCUCGUGUCGUGAGAUGUUGGGUUAAGUCCCGUAACGAGCGCAACCCCUAUCCUUAUUUGCCAGCACAUCAUGGUGGGAACUAUAAGGAGACUGCCGGUGAUAAACCGGAGGAAGGCGGGGACGACGUCAAGUCAUCAUGGCCCUUACGACCAGGGCUACACACGUGCUACAAUGGGAAGGACAAAGAGCCGCGAAGCCGCGAGGUGUAGCUAAUCUCAUAAACCUUUUCGUAGUCCGGAUUGGAGUCUGCAACUCGACUCCAUGAAGUCGGAAUCGCUAGUAAUCGUAGAUCAGAAUGCUACGGUGAAUACGUUCCCGGGUCUUGUACUCACCGCCCGUCA